rnacentral:rRNA from 1 species
GACGUAGGGCGCGAGCGUUGUCCGGAUUUAUUGGCGUAAAGAGCUCGUAGGCGGCUUGUCGCGUCGGCUGUGAAAACCCGUGGCUCAACUGUGGGCGGGCAGCUGAUACGGGCAGGCUGGAGUUCGGUAGGGGAGACUGGAAUUCCUGGUGUAGCGGUGAAAUGCGCAGAUAUCAGGAGGAACACCGGUGGCGAAGGCGGGUCUC